GGAAUCUUGCACAAUGGGCGAAAGCCUGAUGCAGCAACGCCGCGUGCGGGAAGAAGGCCCUAGGGUUGUGAACCGCUUUCAGCAGGGAAGAAAAUGACGGUACCUGCAGAAGAAGGUGCGGCCAACUACGUGCCAGCAGCCGCGGUGACACGUAGGCACCAAGCGUUAUCCGGAUUUAUUGGGCGUAAAGAGCUCGUAGGCGGUUCGGUAAGGCGGGUGUGAAAACUCUGGGCUCAACCCAGAGAGGCCACUCGAUACUGCUGUGACUAGAGUGCGGUAGGGGAGCGGGGAAUUCAUGGUGUAGCGGUGAAAUGCGCAGAUAUCAUGAGGAACACCAGUGGCGAAGGCGCCGCUCUGGGCCGUAACUGACGCUGAGGAGCGAAAGCGUGGGGAGCAAAC
rnacentral:rRNA from 1 species